rnacentral:rRNA from 1 species
GCCGCGGUAUUUUGACCGUGCAAAGGUAGCGCAAUCACUUGUCUCUUAAAUAGAGACCUGUAUGAAUGGCUAGACGAGGGCUUAACUGUCUCCCCCUUCCAGUCAGUGAAAUUGAUCUAUCCGUGCAGAAGCGGGUAUAAUUAUACAAGACGAGAAGACCCUUUGGAGCUUAAGGUACAAGGUUCAACCACGUUAAACGACUCCACGAAAAGCAAGAACUUAGUGGCGAAUGAAACUUUACCUUCGGUUGGGGCGACCACGGAGGAGAAGAGAGCCUCCGAGUGGACUGGGCUAAUCCCCAAAGCCAAGAGAUACAUCUAUAAGCCGCAGAACAUCUGACCAAGAAUGAUCCGACUGAAAAGCCGAUCAACGAACCAAGUUACCCUAGGGAUAACAGCGCAAUCCUCUCCCAGAGUCCAUAUCGACGAGGGGGUUUACGACCUCGAUGUUGGAUCAGGACAUCCUAAUGGUGCAGCCGCUAUUAAGGGUUCGUUUGUUCAACGAUUAAAGUCCUACGUGAUCU